rnacentral:lncRNA from 1 species
CCGGUCCAGCCUGAACUGCCGUAGUUUUCAGCUGUUUCUGAGGUGGAGGCUGAUUAAUGGGCUCAACAGGUUGAUCUGGUUGCUGAUGCUCUGGCGCAGCACGCCUUCUAUUUCCACGUCUACCUCUGUUGACCACUUGGACAACUUUUUCAGGGACGGGUUCCUCUUCAGGUGCAGGUUCUUCAUGAGGAGCAGGUUGUUGAACCCUAACGUCGUUGACCCUGGGCCGUAAUCUCCGACGAUAUUCAUUCCUUCUCCUAGGCAUUUUAUAAAUGAAAUCAAUAUUAGUAUAAUGUUUAUAAAUAAAUAAAUAUGUUCUAAUUUAUAAAACAGAUUACAUUGAUGCUUCGGCUGCAUAUAGAUAAAAUCGUUAAUUUAACAACUGUUCCGUAC